rnacentral:tRNA from 1 species
CACCUCGCUAGUCCAACGGAAGGAUGUUGGUCCCCAAAACCGUCGAUCGGGGUUCGACUCCUCGGCGAAAGGU